AAGGAUUUAAGUUAAGAAAACUAUUAACCUUCAAAGUUAAAAUUAUUUUAAAAUAAGCCUUA
rnacentral:tRNA from 1 species